UGGGGAAUUUUGGACAAUGGGGGAAACCCUGAUCCAGCCAUCCCGCGUGUGCGAUGAAGGCCUUCGGGUUGUAAAGCACUUUUGGCAGGAAAGAAACGUCAUGGGUUAAUACCCCAUGAAACUGACGGUACCUGCAGAAUAAGCACCGGCUAACUACGUGCCAGCAGCCGCGGUAAUACGUAGGGUGCAAGCGUUAAUCGGAAUUACUGGGCGUAAAGCGUGCGCAGGCGGUUCGGAAAGAAAGAUGUGAAAUCCCAGAGCUCAACUUUGGAACUGCAUUUUUAACUACCGGGCUAGAGUGUGUCAGAGGGAGGUGGAAUUCCGCGUGUAGCAGUGAAAUGCGUAGAUAUGCGGAGGAACACCGAUGGCGAAGGCAGCCUCCUGGGAUAACACUGACGCUUAUGCACGAAAGCGUGGGGAGCAAACAGG
rnacentral:rRNA from 1 species